rnacentral:rRNA from 1 species
UGUGGUUUUGGGGAUGGAAGGUGACCUAUCCAUGGAAGUUGCCGUUCGGGGAGGGGCUCGCGUACCAUUAGCUUGUUGGUGGGGUAAUGGCCUACCAAGGCUGCGAUGGUUAGCUGGUCUGAGAGGAUGAUCAGCCACACUGGAACUGGAACACGGUCCAGACUCCUACGGGAGGCAGCAGUGAGGAAUUUUGCGCAAUGGGGGAAACCCUGACGCAGCAACGCCGUGUGAGUGAAGAAGGCUUUCGGGUCGUAAAGCUCUGUCAAGUGGGAAAAAAUGUCUCCGAUGAAUAGUCGGAGGAGUUGAUGGUACCACUAGAGGAAGCACCGGCUAACUCCGUGCCAGCAGCCGCGGUAAUACGGAGGGUGCGAGCGUUGUUCGGAAUUAUUGGGCGUAAAGCGCGUGCAGGCGGUUUGGUAAGUCAGAUGUGAAAGCCCUGGGCUCAACCCAGGAAGUGCAUUUGAAACUACCCUACUUGAGUAUGGGAGAGGAGAGUGGAAUUCCCAGUGUAGAGGUGAAAUUCAUAGAUAUUGGGAGGAACACCCGUGGCGAAGGCGACUCUCUGGACCAAUACUGACGCUGAGACGCGAAAGCGUGGGGAGCAAACAGGAUUAGAUACCCUGGUAGUCCACGCCGUAAACGAUGAGAAAUAGGUGUAGCGGGUAUUGACCCCUGCUGUGCCGGAGCUAACGCAUUAAGUUCUCCGCCUGGGGAGUACGGCCGCAAGGCUAUAACUCAAAGGAAUUGACGGGGGCCCGCACAAGCGGUGGAGCAUGUGGUUUAAUUCGACGCAACGCGAA